UCUCUGUUGAAUGUGACCUCAGUAUGAAAGCGAGCAAGGUGGUAGGGAUGAUAUUCUUAGAAGAGGAAGGGAAUAUAGUUGAUCUAGAAGUAGAAGCAAGGUGGUAGGGAUUAGAAGAGGAAGGGAAUAUAAUUGAUCUAGAAGUAGAAGUCCAGUGCAUCGAAGAAGUAGACCGAUUCCGGAUAAUGGACUGGAAAACAGUAAAGUUUAUGACAGAUAAGGGACCAUCGAGCAACACCAUGGGCGAUAUACCACUCGGUCACCAGUUAGCUGCUAAUUCAAAUGGUUGUUCACCAAUUCGUCGCUCACCUGUUUGUCGUGCCCUUUCCCCAUAGAAAAUUCAAACGUUGAUCGAUUCCCAGCUGGAUGCUCUCCCGUUUUCUGUUCAGCUUAUACUCGCUCAUUUAUUCCCAUUCCCAGCGUUUUUGUUUCAGGUUUUAGGAAGAAAAGCAUAAUCAGAAAAGUGAUGAGGAGGAAUAGAAGAAAAGGGGGAAAAUGUUUUUCAUUCACGGAUGUUGGACGGGUUAUGAUGUAUAACUCUGGCGGGUGUUGCGACAAAAUACUUUUUAUUUGGAUACUCGGAAGGUGGCUUAUCUUAUAUUUACCAGGUUGCUGAAUUUUUUUUAGACUUGAGUUCCAUUCUUAUGAGGGCUUGCCGUAAUGACACAAAUAUUGACAUCACGAAAGAUGUACCACUCCAUAGUUGUUGGAGGAUUCAAGUGAAAUUAAGGGAUUUAUUUUUCUUUGCCCACUUUACUUAACAAGCACUACGAGGGUGUUUGAUUUCUAUUUUAUUACUUUUAAUGUAACAGUUGGAUAACUUGCUUAAAACCCUGCGGUUUAUACAGAA